UACGGAGGGUGCGAACGUUAAUCGGAAUCACUGGGCGUAAAGCGCGCGUAGGCGGUUUGUUAAGUGGGAUGUGAAAUCCCCGGGCUUAACUCGGAAAGGUCAACUGAUACUGUGCGACUAGAGUGCAGAAGGGGCAACUGGAAUUCUCGGUGUAGCGGUGAAAUGCGUAGAUAUCGAGAGGAACACCUGCGGCGAAGGCGGGUUGCUGGGCUGACACUGACGCUGAGGUGCGAAAGCGUGGGGAGCAAACAGG
rnacentral:rRNA from 1 species